rnacentral:rRNA from 1 species
GACGAACGCUGGCGGCAGGCCUAAUACAUGCAAGUCGCACGGGAUUCGGUAGCAAUAUCUGAAUGAGAGUGGCGCACGGGUGCGUAACACGUAUGCAAUCUACCUUUAACUGGGGAGUAGCUCACCGAAAGGUAGAAUUAAUACCGCAUAAAAUACACAGAAGGACAUCCUUCAAUGAUUAAACCUACGGGGUAAGGUAA